rnacentral:rRNA from 1 species
GAUGAACGCUGGCGGCGUGCCUAAUACAUGCAGGUCGAGCGAACAGAUGAGGAGCUUGCUCCUCUGACGUUAGCGGCGGACGGGUGAGUAACACGUGGAUAACCUACCUAUAAGACUGGGAUAACUUCGGGAAACCGGAGCUAAUACCGGAUAAUAUAUUGAACCGCAUGGUUCAAUAGUGAAAGACGGUUUUGCUGUCACUUAUAGAUGGAUCCGCGCCGCAUUAGCUAGUUGGUAAGGUAACGGCUUACCAAGGCAACGAUGCGUAGCCGACCUGAGAGGGUGAUCGGCCACACUGGAACUGAGACACGGUCCAGACUCCUACGGGAGGCAGCAGCAGGGAAUCUUCCGCAAUGGGCGAAAGCCUGACGGAGCAACGCCGCGUGAGUGAUGAAGGUCUUCGGAUCGUAAAACUCUGUUAUUAGGGAAGAACAAAUGUGUAAGUAACUAUGCACGUCUUGACGGUACCUAAUCAGAAAGCCACGGCUAACUACGUG